UACGGAGAUGCUUUGUGUACAAUCAAAUUACUAGUAUUAUUCAUGGCUUCAUAAAUUUCAUAUUAUGGCCUUUUGUUCCUUGUCCUUAAAAAUGGUUUCAAAUAUCCUGUUUUGGAAAUUAUGGAUCCACUUAUCAAUAUAUCCCAUCUCUCUGUCUUUGAGCUUAUUUUGCUGAUGUUUUGGGUCAUUGUAGUUAAUGUAAAAAUAAACUCCUUUUUUCCUUGUAGAAAGUGCAAAACGAGCUGCUGGACGUAUACAGCACCCAAUUACUUGAAAUGGAGAAUUCUAGAUGCCGUGUUUUGCUUAGAGAUGAUAAGGUAGAGGAUCUCUCUACGAUGUAUAGACUAUGCCAUAAAAUUCCUAAAGCUUUGGAACCAGUUGCUAAUAUAUUUAAACAGCAUGUUACUGCUGAAGGUGUAUGAUGUGUCCUAUGUAGCAAAAGUUGUUAGAUAUAACAACACGGAAAUAUAACAUUCAUUUUUCAUUAGUCAUAAAAUAGAGAUGUAACUUAAAAAAAAAAGAUCCUCACAAAUGGCUGUAACUUGAGCCGGAAGACUAUUCAUCAUUCUUUGUGAUACAAUCAAGAUUUGAGGACCAACUUUU